rnacentral:rRNA from 1 species
UACGAAGGGGGCUAGCGUUGUUCGGAAUUACUGGGCGUAAAGCGCACGUAGGCGGACAGUUAAGUCAGGGGUGAAAUCCCGGGGCUCAACCCCGGAACUGCCUUUGAUACUGGAGAUCUUGAGUCCGGAAGAGGUAAGUGGAACUGCGAGUGUAGAGGUGAAAUUCGUAGAUAUUCGCAAGAACACCAGUGGCGAAGGCGGCUUGCUGGUCCGGAACUGACGCUGAGGUGCGAAAGCGUGGGGAGCAAACAGG